AACGAACGCUGGCGGCAGGCUUAACACAUGCAAGUCGAACGCCCCGCAAGGGGAGUGGCAGACGGGUGAGUAACGCGUGGGAAUCUACCGUACCCUACGGCACUACAGUUGGAAACGACUGCUAAUACCGUAUACGCCCUACGUGGGCAAGACUUAUCGGGGUAUGAUGAGCCCGCGUUGGAUUAGCUAGUUGGUGGGGUAAAGGCCUACCAAGGCGCCGAUCCAUAGCUGGGCUGAGAGGAUGAUCAGCCACAUGGGGACUGAGAAACGGCCCAAACUCCUACGGGAGGCAGCAGUGGGGAAUAUUGGACAAUGGGCGCAAGCCUGAUCCAGCCAUGCCGCGUGAGUGAUGAAGGUCUUAGGAUUGUAAAGCUCUUUCACCGAUGAAGAGAAUGACGGUAGUCGGAGAAGAAGCCCCGGCUAACUUCGUGCCAGCCGCCGCAGUAA
rnacentral:rRNA from 1 species